rnacentral:tRNA from 1 species
GGAGGGAUAGCUCAGUGGUUUGAGCAUUGGCUUGCUAAGCCUAAGGCUAUGCAUUCAAUCCU